AGCGGCUGAGGGAGAGGCGGUCGCUCCGUCUGGAGAAGAGGCGGCUCAGGGGAGGUUUCACCGCUCUACAGUGACCUGAGAGGAGGCUGUGGCGAGGAGCGGGUCGGCCUCUGCUCCUGGGAGACUGACAUCAUCACAGCACAACAAGAAAAAGCCAUCAAGAGCUAUUAAGUAUAAAGGUAUAGCUUCAAAUAAUCCUGAGUUGAGAUGAACCAAAGGCUGAAAAAACUGCAGGAGUACCACCCUACUUGCCUCGUCCAUAUUCUAUUCUACAGGCACCUGUGACUGCUAACUAC
rnacentral:lncRNA from 1 species